UCUUGACAAAUAUAAGAGGUCCAGCCUGCCCAGUGAUUAGUUCAACGGCCGCGGUAUCCUAACCGUGGAAGGUAGCGUAAUCACUUGUUCUUUAAAUGAGGACUAGUAUGAAUGGCACCACGAGGGUUACACUGUCUCCUUUUUUUAAUCAGUGAAACUAAUUUUCCCGUGAAGAAGCGGGAAUUUUUUUAUAAGACGAGAAGACCCUAUGGAGCUUUAAACAAAUUAACACUUGCUGCCCAAAAUAACUUUUUCCAGAAACACACCACACAGCAUAGCACUAUGAUUAAUAGUUUUCGAUUGGGGUGAUCACGGAGUAAAAAAUAACCUCCAUGCUGAAAGGGGGGCCCCCCCCCGAGCAAAAAGCCACAACUUUAAGCACUAAAAAAUUAACAUUAAUUGACCCAAUAUUUUGAUCAACGAACCAAGUUACCCUAGGGAUAACAGCGCAAUCCACUUCAAGAGCUCCUAUCGACAAGUGGGUUUACGACCUCGAUGUUGGAUCAGGGUAUCCUAGUGG
rnacentral:rRNA from 1 species